CUGGUCUAGGGGCUGGAGGCUCAAAAGCUCAGAAACCCAAGCAUACAGUUAACGUUGAUGCUUGAUUAGGUCCAGAAAACUCAAAGUGGGCAGUUGUGUGAGCUAGGAAGUUUUAAAGUGUUAGCACUUUUACUUAGCCAAGGCCAUUAAAACUCAACUAAAACAACACACAUUAAACAAAACAGAUCGGGGAUCAACGUCUUCUGUCAGCCUCAAGUUGGCUAUGCUUUAGAAGAUCGAGCAUGGAAAAGACUUGCCCAGAACCGCGUGGGAAGAAAGCACCUGGUCCAAGGGCUGCCCAUUUGUGUUGUGUUGUAACAGAUGCACAGAUCUCAGGAGGCCAAAGAGUAUCAUUAGGAGGCUUGAGGCUAGUCAAGCUCUCAUGGCCUCUAGUUAAGGACAUCCUUUUCAAUGUGAGAUUUCAGAAGCAUAACACACCGACAAUAGUGACUACCUCAUCUCUUUGCACGGUGAGAAUGGAAUGCGUAAGUUAUAACUGAUAACAACUGCCAUUUCUGAUCUUCCACAUGAACAAAUAUUUUUGAGGUGCCCAGUUACUUACUCUAUGACCUGCACUGAAAGCAUAGCGGUACAUCAGUGAGACGAGGCUUUGUCCACCUGGCGUUUCUGAGCCCAGGUGGAGCCACCCUACUACUGAAAUCACCACCCAAGCAAAUGUAAGAGCAUCUGCAGCCAGGAUGUAAAAGUCUGAAAUGGCAGGGUGUGGUGCCAGUUGUCUGGGCCCAGGGAAAGCUCCCUUAGGAAGUAGAUGAUGAAGAGAGGAUUUUCCCAGGAGGGAUGGAUUUGCAUCAUGAAUCUGAAGAAGUUGUCAGAAUGGCAGCUAUCCACAUGUAAUUAAACAUUCUGGAAACAAGCUAGAGGCUCUUAUUACCUUCCGGAACUGCACUGCUGGAAUUCUUGAACUAUGGAUACAAACAAACAAACAAACAAACAACAGGCAAACAACCACCCAACAGUUUUUGGGACCCUCUAAAUGUGUGCCUGGAAUAAGAAAGAAAGGAAGAACAGCAAUAUCAACCAACUAGAUCACCCAGAGCUCCCAGGGAACUAAAGCAUCAGCCAAAGGAUACACAUGGAGGGACCCAUGGAUCCAGCUGCAUAGGUAGCAGACGAUGGCCUUGUCGGGCAUCAAAGGGAGGAAAGGCCCUUGGUCCUGUGAAGGCUUGAUGUCCCAGCAUAAAGGAAUGCUAGAGUGGUGGGGCAGAGGAAGGGGGGAUUGGGAUGGGGGAUUUUCAGAGAGAAAACCAGGAAGGGGGAUAACAUUUGUAAAGCCGGGCAGAGGCAGGUGGAUGGAUUUCCGAGUUUGAGGCCAGCCUGGUCUACAGAGUGAGUUUCAGGACAGCCAGGGCUAUACAGAGAAACCUCUGUCUCGAAAAACCAAAAAACCAAAAAACCAUAAAACCAAAAUAAUUGAAAUGUAAAUAAAAUAACCAAUAAAAAAUAUAAAUAAAUAAAUAAAUAAGUGAAGAAGAGGACUGACAUUGUUCAAGAACAUCAAAGGAUGUUGGGGGAUGGGCAGAGCUUGUGCA
rnacentral:lncRNA from 1 species